rnacentral:rRNA from 1 species
GUCGAGGGGAAACGACAUCGAAAGCUUGCUUUGAUGGGCGUCGACCGGCGCACGGGUGAGUAACGCGUAUCCAACCGUGCCCACCACUUGGGGAUAACCUUGCGAAAGUAAGACUAAUACCCAAUGAUAUCCCACGAAGGCAUCCGAAUGGGAUUAAAGAUUUAUCGGGUGAUGGAUGGGGAUGCGUCUGAUUAGCUUGUUGGCGGGGUAACGGCCCACCAAGGCGACGAUCAGUAGGGGUUCUGAGAGGAAGGUCCCCCACAUUGGAACUGAGACACGGUCCAAACUCCUACGGGAGGCAGCAGUGAGGAAUAUUGGUCAAUGGGCGCAAGCCUGAACCAGCCAAGUAGCGUGAGGGAUGACUGCCCUACGGGUUGUAAACCUCUUUUGUUUGGGAAUAAAGUGCGGGACGUGUCCCGCAUUGCAUGUACCAUUUGAAUAAGGACCGGCUAAUUCCGUG